GUAGCAUGAGAGUGUGAAGACCUAACUGUGUGGGUACUCAGAGAUGACAAGGAAUGGUUUGGGAUUGAUAUCCGUUGAGAUGGAGGGCCAAGUUGUAGACCAAAGCCUUGAGAGGCAGAAGACUGACUUUGCUGGAGAUGACCAACGGAUCCAUCAGAAUUUUCUGCUUCAGGCAUCUCAGAUGAUACUUUCUGUUCAGAAUUACUUAACUGAGUCAUAGAACCGUGCACACUUGAUUGGUCUACCUUCUGAAGAAGCUGGAGCAUGUUUGGACUAGUUUGUGC
rnacentral:misc_RNA from 1 species